ensembl:lncRNA
GAUCCCGUCCGUCAGCAAAGAGUCUGCGUCAACCACCCGCUGCUCCCACCUCCACCUACGUAUACAACCAACCAUCAACCAUAGGAUGUUUAAGCCCAUCUCUCCAGAGGUCACCUUGGCUUGUUUACUUGACUGGAGUGGACGCUCAGUGAACAUCUCACCUACCAACGUGUGUUCAGCUCUCAACUCAUUUCCUACUGGAUCCUCAGUCAGUGUGGGUUUUUGGACCAGUUGCACCUCACGGGCCGAGCCACCAAUCCUGAACGCGCCUGUACGCACCAAGUACUCACCCAGCAACUACCAGACACGUGAAGAAACAGGCCGCCUCCUAUUGGCUCCGCCUGACACAGCCAUGGACGGGAUGGGAUCCUGGAAGCGGGGGCCGGAUGAUUGGGAGGUUUGGCUGAGGUGACAAAGAGCUGAUCGAUCCCCGGCUGCAGGAGGCCGAGCCGGGGGAACAGGCUCCAAAAGCCUGACUGUCACGCACACUGCAUACACAGGUACAUAAAAAACAUAAGGCCCACGCGGAGGGACAAUCCGCUCUGGCCUUCAUUGCGUUAGGCAGACGUAUACUAAACUGGAGAAAAUUGUUGAGUAUGAAAGUUGUCUGAUUAAAUAAUUGAUUCUGAUUCUCACACAGAAUGUUUAAUUAUUUGAUGACUUUGUGCGUGAUAACAGGGCCGUAACAGUUUGACAUAAAACACCAUUUCUGAAUGACACAUGUCAUUUUCUUGUGAUUCAGGAUGUAAUAAAGUGACAUUUUAUUUGUUAAUUUUGAAAAGCUAAAAGAAAUAACCCUCUUAUCAUAAUGAAUUUAGAGAGUAUUUAGAGACAUUUCCACCCCAUGUUUUAGUCGGUCAUACACAUGAGCUAUACUGUAUACAAGUGAGUGAAUCAUCAAUAAGAUGAGCAGCCUCUAUCCCCAUGCUACUUCUUAUUUAUAAAGAAAUAGCUUAAGCCCUGGUGUUCAAAUCACAGGCAGCGUUUAAAUCUCCUAAAAUCCUUCCAUGCUUGUUAUUGCAAAAGGGGCUUGUUUGGGAACACGUCUUGAAGAUCAUAGCGUGUAGUUGCAGCAGCUACGUUUGAAUCAACAUGAGGUGCAAUGGGGGAGGAGAGGGAAGCGACGCUGGAGACAGAGCACGUAAGAAAGAGCGAGUCAUGCAGGAAGAAUGGGACUAUUCCACUUUAAAGUUUGUCCACCCGGAGAGCUUUGGCAUCUCCGCAGCCAUACAGGUUAGCUUAAAAACUGAGAGAAUGAUUUUGUGUUUUGGUCCCUGGGGAUGGAAACUGUCUCAACACAGUGUACACUCAAUAGUAGAUCAAUAUUUCUACAAUAUCAAGCCGACCCAGCCUGGCUCCUUCCCUCCGAAGCACAGACAACAUGAAAUGAAUUGUUAUUUGAUGUUGCACUCUGGGAAAUGAUUGAAGGUUGCCUUAGGCUGAAGACAAUUUGGUAGGAAAUCUUAAGUGCGUCCCCGGUGCUUAAUGACUUACUGUACAGGUUCUGCAGUGAGAAGCGCAGACGUGUCUCACGUAUUCCUGCAUCUCAAUUCAACUUUAUUGCUGCCGACAAACUCUGUCUCCUUGUAGGCCUGUGCGAUCAGGGCCAGGACGAAAAGGGGAGGUGUGCCGCUUCGCCAAACGGAACCAACCGGCUUUAUUUGCUAUUUUCUAC